ACGAAGUAGCAAUACUUAGUGGCAGACGGGUGAGUAACAUGUGGGUAUCUACCCUUUGGCCUGGAAUAACACGAGGAAACUUGUGCUAAUACCGGAUAGGUCUUUACGGAGAAAGCUUUAUGCACCAUUGGAUGAGCCCGCACUUGAUUAGUUUGUUGGUGGGGUAAUGGCCUACCAAGACUUUGAUCAAUAGCUGAUUUGAGAGGAUGAUCAGCCACAUUGGGACUGAGACACGGCCCAAACUCCUACGGGAGGCAGCAGUGGGGAAUCUUGCACAAUGGAGGAAACUCUGAUGCAGCGAUGCCGCGUGAGUGAAGAAGGCCCUUGGGUUGUAAAGCUCUUUCGUCGGGGAAGAAAAUGACUGUACCCGAAUAAGAAGGUCCGGCUAACUUCGUGCCAGCAGCCGCGGUAAUACGAAGGGACCUAGCGUAGUUCGGAAUUACUGGGCUUAAAGAGUUCGUAGGUGGUCAAAAAAGUUGGUGGUGAAAUCCCAGAGCUUAACUCUGGAACUGCCAUCAAAACUUUUUGGCUAGAGUAUGAUAGAGGAAAGCAGAAUUUCUAGUGUAGAGGUGAAAUUCGUAGAUAUUAGAAAGAAUACCAAUUGCGAAGGCAGCUUUCUGGGUCAUUACUGACACUGAGGAACGAAAGCAUGGGUAGCGAAGAGGAUUAG
rnacentral:rRNA from 1 species